rnacentral:misc_RNA from 1 species
UGUGCGUGUCAGCGGUAACGUUCAGCUCACGUGUGUGAGUGAUUUAGUAGGGGAAGUUAAUGCACAUACAGGCCAAGAAUGUCCGUCGACAACACGGUACAUGCACUGAAGACGACCAACCAGCAGGCAGUGCGGGAUUUCUAGAGUGGCAACUCUCAUACCGUAAGAUCACCACUAGUCUUGCAGCUGCACUGUCCGCGGCCGGACGGUACGGAGAUGGCAUGGCAGCUCGUGGUACGUGCGCGUCGGCUUACCUGGUCGGCCCACGGCCUGAGACAGAGGAAGAUUUUGGCACUCAUUGUCGGUGUGUCGCUAUUCAGCUGUGCGCACUUCCUUGCCAGAUCAGAGGGAGUGUUCUCGGCGGGGCUGCAGCGCCAAGAGACGUCAGAGAAUCGGGUAGUUCACGGCAGCGAUGUCCAGCGGCUGAACGAACUCGGAAAUGGUGCUCUUUGGCCACCCCCUCCGUCCUCAGAUCAAGUCACACAGGAAGGGGAAUUUCCCUUUAAGCCCGCCAGGCCACCUGGAGAUAUCAGCGAACUGUCGGGGGUCAAUUCACUGGGCCGGCUGAGGCAGGCCAAGAUGGCCGUAAAACGGCACGAGGAGCCGUUCCCGUGGCCUGUGAGGCAGAACUUCAUUCCAAACUAUUUCCUCAACUACGACAAUGCGUCGCUGUCGCCUGCAGCGGAGGACAAGCCGAUGCGUUUCGACUCACACAGCGUCCUCGUUUACCUGCACCACAACAAAGCGGCUGGUACAACGACCAAGAGGUGUCUGUCCGACAUUGCAGGCGCCAGUCUGGGUCGGACGGUUGGGCCCGUGUUGAGUAGCGAAGGACGGCUGGCCGUAGAGGCUCGUUUCAUGCGGAAGAGGCGAUUCAAGAUGCGGAGUACGCCCAACGUGUACUUUGGUGGGUACUCUUUCGGACUCUGUGACCGAUACAAGAAACCUUGCGCCUACUUCACCGUUAUGCGGGACCCGUACGAGCGGACGCUGUCUUCCCAUUCGUACUGCAAGCACGCACGACAGGAUCAACUCUGCUCCGCCCAGGUUGCUCGCAGGGUGUCCCUUCACGAAUGGGCUCUGCACCAAGGCAGCUUCUUCUUCAGGCAGCUCUUGUUCCAGCCAGUGUUCUGCAGCGACAAGACUCGCUGGAUGCGCUACAUCGACAUCGAAGGCGUUCCGCAUGACUUCGUGAUGAAGCAAGAUUGGCUGAGGAGCGCCCCCUGUUGGUUCCGACAGAAACUCAUCAUGGAGCUGACUUUAAACGAGACUCUGCACGAGGCUUUACUCCAGUACUGCCUGGAGAACAUGGAACGCUGGUUUACCGUCAUCAUGCUGGUAGACCACUACGACGAAUCACUGCAAAUGGCACAGCAAGCCCUGAAACUGCCCAUGUACGAUCGGUGCGCCGGAAGGCGCUACAACGCUGGUUCCUACAACAAAACCAGCAACCCCAUCAACGUGUCGAAAUCAAUGGAACCCAACGGGACUAUCGCCGGGCACCAGCCAACGACCGAUCCUUCAGCGGAAAAGCAGUUGCUUGAACUUCGGAAGGAUCCGGAAAUCCGUAAGAUCUUGCGAGCAGACGAACUGUUAUACCGAAAAGGAGUGGAAAUCUUCAACAAGCAGAGGGUGGUAUUCAAGAAAAUCCAAUCUCAAACAUGACAACAAAGUAUUCAAACGCUUAACUCAUCCAGCGAAGUCCUUUCUCCAGCUUUUUACCCUUUGCAAGUAGCCCACGGCUCGACACUUCCCACUUCCUUGACACUUUUUCAAAGGGUGUUCCAGCGUUGAGUCUCAUCUAUGCAUUGAUUGUAUGAUUUGGGAAGAUGGCUUCAGCGGAGUAUAUAGUACUACGGUUGCUCUUCAGUCCACUUGGCUUGGUCUCUGGAGGUCUUCCACCAUAACAGAUAUAAAUAAUGCACGUCCGAUGGAUGACUCUGACUGAAGUAGAGGAAGGGAAAAGGCGAAACAAAACUGAGUCGUGUUCGUUUCCCGACGGUCGAGAACAUUCAGUCGUACGUGGAAAGUGCUUCCAUUAGCUGUGUAAAUACAGGUCACACCGGUGCAACGCUCGUCUGAUGGACUGGAGUGAUGUCCUUCGCUGGGCGUCGGUGGAAGCAUAGAGCAAGGAUCCUUGCUCUACGGUAGAAGCGUGCCACGGCAUAACACUGGGACGUAAAUCCAUUUACAUGUACAUGCACGUUUAGUAACCGUCGUUGAGAUUAAAGGGAUCGGGGGGGGGAGAUGGAUCCUGACACUACAAUUCUGGGUUUGACCGAAUUCCCUCGUUAUUUUAAAACAUCUUUUGCCACGUCCUGGGUGAUAAUGGCUGAAAUUGUCGAGGAGGCACUCGAGAUAAGUCUGCGUUUACACAAUGUAGCAUGCGGGGUCUAUAAAUGGCCUGUUCUAAACUUCAGCCUUGUUUCCAAACAGACAAAAGGCGCCUUUCCACAAUGCGCGUCAACACUUACGCUGAGCGUUGCGUAUCCGUCAAAAUCGCUCCCAGGGCGAUUUUGACGCUCCCAGGGCGAUUUUGACGGCCAAACGCAACGCACACAUAUGUUAUGUUAAUAAUGGAGCCGAUCUAUGGGUGCGUUCGAUUAGCUUACACGUGUAAGUCAAACUUACACGAGAGCGUUCGUUUAGCGAUCACGUGAUGU